UCCAGCUGAGACCCAUCCCUGCCAUUCAAGACGCGGGCCGCCACCACAACAACGCCGCACCUUCAGCCGGAUCGAAGCAGCACGGAAAAACCUUUUAUGCUUUUUUCCCCCCCCCCACAGCUGAAGAGAAACUGAAAACAUGAGGAACGGGGAGGGAGAUGCACGCACAAACAUGCAAAGGCCUAUUUCUGUCUGCGUUGACACAUGGCUGGCUCACUAACAGGAAAGUGACUAACAGCACCAGAACACUCAGCAAGCUUGACUUUAACUGGCCGUCCUGGAUUGGGAUGCUCAACGCGUAACACAUCCUGUGAUUUUAAGUUUAUUACAGC